rnacentral:rRNA from 1 species
GUCGAGAGGCUUCGGCAAUGGGGGAAACCCUGACCGAGCGACGCCGCGUGGGGGAUGAAGGCCUUUGGGUUGUAAACCCCUGUCAAGUGGGACGAAACACUCUGAGGUGAUAAGCCGAGGGGUUUGACGGUACCGCCAGAGGAAGCUCCGGCUAACUCCGUGCCAGCAGCCGCGGUAAUACGGGGGGAGCAAGCGUUGUUCGGAAUUACUGGGCGUAAAGGGCGUGUAGGCGGCCUUGUAAGUCGGGGGUGAAAUCCACUGGCUCAACCAGUGACGUGCCUUCGAAACUGCUUGGCUUGAGUAUGACAGAGGAAAGCGGAAUUCCAGGUGUAGCGGUGAAAUGCGUAGAUAUCUGGAAGAACACCGGUGGCGUAGGCGGCUUUCUGGGUCAAUACUGACGCUGAGGCGCGAAAGCCAGGGGAGCAAACGGGAUUAGAAACCCGAGUAGUCC